UACGGAGGGUGCGAGCGUUGUCCGGAAUCACUGGGCGUAAAGGGCGCGUAGGCGGCUUGGGAAGUCUGUGGUGAAAGCUCGUGGCUCAACUGCGAGUCGGCCAUAGAUACUCCUAAGCUCGAGUCGACUAGAGGCAGAUGGAAUUCCGGGUGUAGCGGUGGAAUGCGUAGAGAUCCGGAAGAACACCGGUGGCGAAGGCGGGUCUGCUGGGGUCGAACUGACGCUGAGGCGCGACAGCGUGGGGAGCAAACAGG
rnacentral:rRNA from 1 species